UGACCUCGGAUCAGGUAGGGAUACCCGGUGAACUUAA
rnacentral:rRNA from 1 species